AUUGAACGCUGGCGGCAGGCCUAACACAUGCAAGUCGAGCGAGCGGCGGACGGGUGAGUAAUGUCUGGGAAACUGCCUGAUGGAGGGGGAUAACUACUGGAAACGGUAGCUAAUACCGCAUACCAUCAGAUGUGCCCAGAUGGGAUUAGCUAGUAGGUGGGGUAAUGGCUCACCUAGGCGACGAUCCCUAACUGGUCUGAGAGGUUAACCAGCAACAAGGGAACGGAGACAAGGUCCAGACGCCUCAGGGAGGCAGCAGUGGGGACUAUUGCACAAUGGGGGCAAGCCUGAUGCAGCCAUGAGGGGUGUGUGAAGAAGGCCUGCGGGUUGUAAAGCAAUUACAGCGGGGAGGCGUUACCCGCAGAAGAAGCACCGGCUAAAUCCGUGCCAGCAGCCGCGGUAAUAC
rnacentral:rRNA from 1 species